AAUAAUUAGUAGUAUAAUAUAUUUUGUUACACGAAGUAAGAUGAGCUAAGAGAAUUUAUAUAUUAGUAUUUAGUGUUAUAUGUAGCAGUAUAUAGUUAUUAUUUUCUUUUAGGGGUGAUAUACCUGUCAAAUUUUACGAUAACUUGAUAUAUAGGAAAAAUAUUAAGUAUUUAAUCAAUUUAAAAAUGCUAAGGUUUUUAAAUAAUAUAAUAUUUCAUUUGCAAUUAGCAUAUUAUUUAACUGUAUAUGCUUAUAUACUAAAUAAUUAUACUGAGGUAUUAUAUAUUUAGUACUAUAUUAUAGUGUUAAUUAAAUUAAUUAUUAAUAAUGUUAUUAUUAGUAUUUAAAUAGAUUUUGUUAAGGAACUCGGCAAAGCUAUUGUUCAACUGUUUACCAAAAACAUUGCUUUGUGUAAGUAUUCGAAGUUAACCCUGCUCAAUGGUAUACUAAAUAGCCGCAGUACUUUGACUGUGCAAAGGUAGCAUAAUCAUUUGGCUUAUAAUUGAAGUCUGGCAUGAAUGGGUAACUGGAUAAUAACUAUCUUUCCAUAAUUAAUUGAAUUUACUUAUUAAGUGAAAAUUCUUAUAAAGAAACAAUAGACGAGAAGACCCUAGAAAUUUUAUAUAUAUAUAUUAAGAUAAUCUAUUUUGUUGGGGCGACAAGGUAGCAAUGAACCUACCUAAGAUUUAUAGAAAGUUGUUGAACAAUAUAAUUAAAUUACUCUAGGGAUAACAGCAUAAUACACAAGAGUUUGUGACCUCGAUGUUGGACUAGGUAAAUUAAUGUUUAGAAGAUAUUAAUUUAAGCUCUGUUCGAGCUAAUAUACCUACGUGAUCUGAGUUCAGACCGG
rnacentral:rRNA from 1 species